ensembl:lncRNA
AUAUAUACUGUAUUAUAAAUUGUAUAAAGUCAAAAUAGAGCAUAUGUUGCUGCUAAUAAAAAUGGAUUUUAGUAAUAGUUGAUCUUCAGGCUUCAGUUUGAUCCCUAAUUCCACAGCAUGUCCAGCAUGGCAAAUACCAAACAAUUAGAGACAAACAAACACAAGCUCUUCUGUCAGCCUCAGGAGAUAGUUCCCCCAUUGUUUUUGUUUGGUAGCUGUAAAGAUUUUCCCCAGGGGAGAGAAAACUUUUGUCCGUCUAUCGUUAAUUACGAAGGCCCACGAGGGAAGUGGGCUCAUUGAGGGUAGAGCAUGGCAGAGGGUAGGUAGGUCCUUGAAUAGCUAAUGAGCUCAUUUACUCUCUGGAAUCUCUCAGAUCACAUUAUGUCCAGCUCACUGGGGUGCUACAGAAAAAUAGCCAGAAAAUAAAAACUGGAUCUAAAGAUGCAUGGUUCUAUAGUUGGCUUAGAAAGUAGACGCCCUGCUAAACACUUCACUAGAAAUGGUGCUCUGCCAGGCCAUGCUUUGUCCUGUGGUUUCUUAUAGCUUUUAUGAUAUCAUCUUAUCAGGAUCUGAUUCUGUGGUGCCACUAAGCAGCUUUGUCAUCAGGGUGAGAAGACUGUAUUAAGCACGCAGCCUUUUAUCCGCUGCAAUGUUGAUGAUUAAAGUUUACAACUGAAGGACAGCAAUAGCCACUGAUGUCCUAGAUAGAGGUCUUAUAUUAUAUAUUGUUCCCUCAUUUGAAGAACCCCACUUGUUGGAACAGUACUAAGAGCAGAUUGGCCACGCCUCACAGACAAUAGAGGAGAUGGGGAAACCAUUACUUCUCCUUUUUGCUUUUUUAGCUUCUUCAUACUGUAAUUCUAUCCCUGUGAUUAACAUGGCUGUGGUAAAUGUGAGAGAAGAUCAUCCAGUAGGUAAAGUUGCAUUUCAAAUCGAAACAUUUGAUCCAGAUGGUGACCCUCUAACAUAUGGUAUCACUGGAACAGACUCUAGUCAUUUUAACGUUGACAAAGACACUGGUGAAGUCAGAAUCAAGAGUAUGCUGGACAGAGAGGUAUUUUGUUAG